AGAGUGGUCUUAUUUAUUCCAAUAGUGAACUGGAUUUAGAAAAUUUUUUUAAAUUAUAAAAGAAAUUAUUUAUUCUAAUGAAUGUUAUAUUUUUCUAAUUACUUAAAAGUUGGGGUUGGCUUAUACAUGAGUUAUAGAUUUUUUAUUGAAUUUUACACUAAAUCCUGGAAUCGGUUUAUACAAGACUAUAUAUGAUUGUGCACAUGUGUGUAUGGUCACACAUGCACACACUCUUGUGUGUAUUUUAUACUCAUUUUAAGAUAAAUUUAUUAGAAAAUAUAAAAACUCUAAAUAGAAGUUAAAAAACUUACCAAAUUCAAAUAUCAAACAUAGAAUUUAAAGUAAAAAUAUACGAUAGCCUAUGAUCUGUUCAGGAAAUAUAGUACAGAACUUAUAUUUUUAUUAUAAUUAAAUUCCUACUUGAAAAUUCAAAAAAGAACUCUCAGAGCAGGGUGAAACAGAGAACAUUCUUUUAAACUGAAAUAUUUUCAAUGGAGUUGCAGAACUUUAAUAUUCUUUGUUUUUAAAUUUUUUAAAUUUUAAUGUAUGUUUGGUAUACAGCCUGACAAUGAUGCCAGGAGCAUUGAAAAUGUUUGCAUUUUAUUAAAUCAUUUUUGGUUUUUUACCCACUGUCUAGUGCUUGCUUUUUACUAUGGUACAUAUAUAUAAACUGUUGUAACUAUGAUUACCUACAUAACUAUAGUAACAUAUGUAAUUAUAAUAAUGAAUGUUAUUAGAUGAAGAACACAAAACAGGCAUUUAUCAGGCCCCAUUAUUCAGAAUCUAGGGAAACGACAAUAUUAUUUAGGAGCACUAAGCAAAAUAUAUGUGAAAGGGUUUACAAACAUAAAAAUGAUAUGAAUACAAGAAAACUUUCCAUGACAUUAGCCAGAAUAUUUUAUGAAAAUGAUGUAAAAAAUAUGGAUUUUUAUAUUAGUGAAGCAAUACAGAUAGUGAAACAUAAUCAGUGAAAUGAUAUAAUAAUAUUUAUUGCUAGUAUAUCAGUGUAUGCAACUAUAACAAGAACUUUAGAACUGAACUGAAUGUUUAAAAGUUUUUGUAAUUUAGAUUUAUUUUAUUCUUCUGGAACAAGAGUGAUCUUUUUGUAUUCAUUGUAGUUUGUUUACCUGUGCUGAAGAGGUACCACUCUAUUGAAAAUGUUUGUUUUAACUAAAAGUAUCUUGUGUGUUUUUUUACCCUGCUCUGUGAAUGUUUUUCCAAAGUUUUGAUCAUUUCACAUUAUAUCAACUUGCUCUCUUCUAAUCUAAAUAAGUAAAAAUGCACCAUGGGCA
rnacentral:lncRNA from 1 species